CCUACGGGAGGCAGCAGCGGGGAAUAUUGCACAAUGGGCGCAAGCCUGAUGCAGCCAUGCCGCGUGUGUGAAGAAGGCCUUCGAGUUGUAAAGCACUUUCAGCGGGGAGGAAGGCGGUGAGGUUAAUAACCUCAUCGAUUGACGUUACCCGCAGAAGAAGCACCGGCUAACUCCGUGCCAGCAGCCGCGGUAAUACGGAGGGUGCAAGCGUUAAUCGGAAUUACUGGGCGUAAAGCGCACGCAGGCGGUCUGUCAAGUCGGAUGUGAAAUCCCCGGGCUCAACCUGGGAACUGCAUUCGAAACUGGCAGGCUAGAGUCUUGUAGAGGGGGGUAGAAUUCCAGGUGUAGCGGUGAAAUGCGUAGAGAUCUGGAGGAAUACCGGUGGCGAAGGCGGCCCCCUGGACAAAGACUGACGCUCAGGUGCGAAAGCGUGGGGAGCAAACAGGAUUAGAUACCCUAGUAGUC
rnacentral:rRNA from 1 species